rnacentral:rRNA from 1 species
UACAGAGGGUGCAAGCGUUGUUCGGAAUUAUUGGGCGUAAAGGGAGUGUAGGCUGCUUGUUAAGUCUUCUGUGAAAUCUACGGGCUCAGCCUGUAACGUGCAGAGGAAACUGGCGAGCUUGAGUGUCGGAGAGGAUAGGGGAAUACCCGGUGUAGAGGUGAAAUUCGUAGAGAUCGGGUGGAACACCAGUGGCGAAGGCGCCUGUCUGGCUGACAACUGACGCUGAGACUCGAAAGCAUGGGGAGCAAACAGG